rnacentral:rRNA from 1 species
AAACCAACAGGGAUUGCCCUAGUAACGGCGAGUGAAGCGGCAACAGCUCAAAUUUGAAAGCUAGCCUUCGGGUUCGCAUUGUAAUUUGUAGAGGAUGAUUUGGGGAAGCCGCCUGUCUAAGUUCCUUGGAACAGGACGUCAUAGAGGGUGAGAAUCCCGUAUGUGACAGGAAAUGGCACCCUAUGUAAAUCUCCUUCGACGAGUCGAGUUGUUUGGGAAUGCAGCUCUAAAUGGGAGGUAAAUUUCUUCUAAAGCUAAAUAUUGGCGAGAGACCGAUAGCGCACAAGUAGAGUGAUCGAAAGAUGAAAAGCACUUUGGAAAGAGAGUUAAAAAGCACGUGAAAUUGUUGAAAGGGAAGCGCUUGCAAUCAGACUUGUUUAAACUGUUCGGCCGGUCUUCUGACCGGUUUACUCAGUUUGGACAGGCCAGCAUCAGUUUCGGCGGCCGGAUAAAGGCUCUGGGAAUGUGGCCUCCACUUCGGUGGAGGUGUUAUAGCCCAGGGUGUAAUACGGCCAGCCGGGACUGAGGUCCGCGCUUCGGCUAGGAUGCUGGCGUAAUGGUUGUAAGCG